UACGUAGGGUGCGAGCGUUAAUCGGAAUUACUGGGCGUAAAGCGUGCGCAGGCGGUUUUGUAAGCCAGAUGUGAAAGCCCCGGGCUUAACCUGGGAAUGGCAUUUGGGACUGCAAGGCUUGAGUGCGGCAGAGGAGACUGGAAUUCCUGGUGUAGCAGUGAAAUGCGUAGAUAUUGGGAGGAACACCAAUUGCGAAGGCAGCUCGCUGGGACGUCACUGACGCUGAGACGCGAAAGCGUGGGGAGCAAACAGG
rnacentral:rRNA from 1 species